rnacentral:tRNA from 2 species
GCCCGAGUAGCUCAGUGGUAGAGCAGGGGAUUGAAAAUCCCCGUGUCGGAAGUUCAAUUCUCCCCUCGGGCACCA